rnacentral:rRNA from 1 species
ACGAACGCUGGCGGCGUGCUUAACACAUGCAAGUCGAACGGGCGAUUUAAGCUUGCUUAGAUGAGCCUAGUGGCAAACGGGUGAGUAACGCGUAGGCAACCUGCCUCUAAGAUGGGGACAACAGUCCGAAAGGACUGCUAAUACCGAAUGUUGUGAGCUUUCCGCAUGGGAGACUCAUUAAAGAUGGCCUCUACUUGUAAGCUAUCACUUAGAGAUGGGCCUGCGUCUGAUUAGCUAGUUGGCGGGGUAACGGCCCACCAAGGCGACGAUCAGUAGCCGGUCUGAGAGGAUGAACGGCCACAUUGGGACUGAGACACGGCCCAGACUCCUACGGGAGGCAGCAGUGGGGAAUCUUCCGCAAUGGGCGAAAGCCUGACGGAGCAACGCCGCGUGAAGUGAAGAAGGUCUUCGGAUCGUAAAGCUCUGUCGAAGGGGACGAACGUGGGUUCUAUCAACAACGGAACCUAAUGACGGUACCUUUCAAGAAAGCCACGGCUAACUACGUGCCAGCCGCAGC